GGUGUGUAGUGUAUUUUCCAACUGCCCUUGAACUAAACACAAACUCACUCCAGCAGCAAUCGGCACAACAAGCAACAGGUGUGCGAAGACCUGGGACUUUAAAAGUAACAAGAAGGAGAAGACAGAGAGCAGAUUCGGUGUGAAGCAGAAGAAGAGACACGGUGUGAAACAGAGGAGAGGGACGAUGGACCUGGUGGAGCAGGUCGCGCCCGACGGCGUGGACGCCGAAGCCAGCAGCCAUCUUUUGACCGCUAAUUGAAACAGCGGCUGGUAACAGGGGAAGAGGGGGAGAAAGGGCCAGCAGUAGGCUACACCAUGGCGGCAAGUGACCACAGACAGAGCGGUGCUUCCCAGUCUCAGUGUCAACCUCGUCCUCCCUGAAGGCCAGCGAGGAGAAAGAAAUGGGAAGCAACAGACAUGAGCACCAGAGCAGCAGGCACUGAAAAGGAGCGAGAGGCCACCAGUGAGGAUUCACCGGAACCUGAAACACUGCAGCCUGUGUCCGUUCGGCGUGAAGACUCGGGCCUGGGUGGAUAGCAGGGACGCUGUCACCCCAGUAAAGUGUGAGUAGGCUAGUGAAGGAGUUGAGCGGCGGGCACUGGGAGGCUGGCUGCAGGGCCAGGUAAGUGUGAAAAGUAAGGGGCAUUGGUGCGUGGCUGGAGACUGGCGUGUGGUUGUGCUCCCUAGGCGAGGGCCGUGAGGGCCGAUCUGUGACAAGCUGGGGGAGUAGACAGUGGCGGUAAAGGGAAGGAGCGCCGUCAGCCAGAGAAGGGGAAGCCACAUGGAACAACAGAGAGGUGCAGUCACGAUUUACCCCUCUUUUAGGACACUUCUAUUCCCCUCCUGAUGUGUGCAGAUGCUCCACAUAGUGAAAGGAAGUGAGUCAAACAUUAAUUGAAAAGACAGAACAUUUUCACUACACAUCCACCCCCCUAGAGAAGACUUUCGCUGAGCACGGCUAAAAGAAAUGCGGAGGUGUGGCACAGCGCUGUAAACUGUCCGCAGCCGAUGCUUGUUUGUUGUCUUUCCGAGGCCUGGAGAGCAACAAGAUAAUGUCUCCUUUGAGAGUGAACAAUAAUGGUCAAUGAAUGUUUUAUGGCCUCUCUGAGAGACAAUGUCAAUGAUGUCUUUAUUGCCUUCACAUGUUGAAGAGCCUCAUUCCUGAAUAAGAACCAAAGUCUGCAUGCUCUGACAAUAUAACUGCUGACACACGCUGACACUUUGGGGAAACAAUUAUGUUUUAUAAUGCAGCAUGUUUUCCUAAUGCUAUAGCUUUGCCCUCUGCUCUGUUCAACUAUUAAUAUUUAAGAUGCAACAUGUAUUUUACAACAUCAUUACUGUCAAAAUAUGAUAAACAAAUGAGGCCAUACUUACUCCAAAUACUAUACUUAGUUCAAGUGGUUUUCUAAAGUAAGACCAGCCUUUUUGUUUCUGUCACAAACAGGAUGUUGCUAAUUGCUUUGUUGUUUGUGCUCGAACAAUAGUGUCUCUCUCUCUCUCUCUCU